GGAGGGAUGGCUGAGUGGCUGAAGGCACCGGUUUCGAAAACCGGCGUAUCGCAAGAUACCUAGGGUUCGAAUCCCUAUCCCUCCGCCA
rnacentral:tRNA from 1 species